UAUAAGCCCGUGCAUUUCCUAAAUAAAGCAGAAGCGUUCCAGAAACCUCCCUGGUGUCUGCAUGGUGAUUCUGAGACUUGCCUUCCCAGUCCGAACUCCCGAACCGAACUCCGCAAACCAAACAGCAGGCGACAACAGCUGGCAUCACAACGUGGGGUUCACGUAUACUGGGUGUCCGAGGUGUUUCCUGCCCAAACACCAACAGAAAGAGGGCCUCAAAACUGCCUCCAAAAUGGCGAACAGGAGCCUCCCGAAAAAGAUGGUGCAGUCAGACGUUCUCUUCCACCUUCUUCUUCCCGUGAAGCGUCAGCCCCGCCCUCUGACAACCCACUUCCUGCCACUGACGUGCCUCCGCCAACGCCCCCUACCCCGCAUCACCGGAAACAACAUCACCCUGAAGAACCCGCCUUUUCCGGUCCAAAAUGGCAGCCCCCACAAUGUGUGCCACCAUCUUACUGAUCUCCUGAUUCCUCAAGCUCCUCCUCAGACAGUAAAGAGCCCUCAUCCUCUGGUGAGGAGUCGGCCGUCUCCUAUAAAUGACACCUUUUUCCAAAAUAUGAUAAAAGGAUGAAAGAAAAACUAUCAGUCUCUUCAGGCCUAUUCUGUCACAUUGGGUGGCCUUCGGACAACACCUUAGGUUCCUCACGCCCCCAAGGUUUAGAAGGACUUCCGUCAGGCGGUUCAAGACCAUGGACCUCAAAGCCCUUUGUGCACAAGCAAUGAGUAUGGCGCCGCCUGGAACUCCCAAACCCAUUUCAGGCCCAGUGAUGGUUGUUCUGUGUGCAGCACUCACUGCCAAUUCAGAACAAGCUACUUCUCCCUCUUUGAGCACGCAAGUAUGGACUCUUGCCACUAACCUAUUAUCUACCCUGUCUCUUCCUUUGGAAACUUUUCACAACCUUUAAUUUCCACCUUCUGGAACUCCACCAUUUCCCCAAAUUCGGUGUGCUUUACUGAAAAUUUUUCUACACAGGAUUGUCUAUUACUUUAGAGAUAUCAUUUGCGUGGUUCAGGGUUGUUAUUACUGUACUUCCCUUUACAACAGGCCUUCCUUCCCCUUUCUUCUUUAUUCUUACCAGUUCAACCCUUAGGAUGGCAAUCAAGUGUCCAACACCCCGUACAUCAAACCUCCUUUCUUGCCCAAUAACUCAACCUGGUAUGUUUAUAUUGGCAGGAAUCCCGCCACAGUUUGGAUCCCAGUUAAUUUAACAGGAGAGUGGGGGGUUCUGAUUCCCUCUUCGAUUUGAUGCUUCAUCCCCAUCUCGUGAUUUAGAAAUUUUGGCUAUCACUGCCAUUGCAGUGUCUGUUGUCGCUGCACUAUCCACUGCCACCACUGCUGCCAUGACCCUUCGCGAUCAAGUUGUCACCACCACAGCUGACCACAGCACCUCUCUCACCCUGGGACAAUUGGCAAUAGAUAUUUUAAAAAAAAACCUUGUGGGAUGGUGUUUCAACUGGGUGGGCACAGUUAAGUAGUACUUGGGCAAAAGUUCUGAUUCUUUCCUCACCCUGUGUGUUAACCCUUUGGGGAAUCAUUUUGUUAUUGUUCAUCUUAAAAAUUAGGCAUCUGAUUCAAAGGAGAUAUAGAGAGACUCAUAAAAAUGUGGUCCUCUUGGCUGAGGCUCUGGAGUCAAAGACAAAAGGGGAACUAUGGAAGAAGUUCAAGCCUGGCUGGGCCAAGUAUGCUGCACUCCUGUCUCCUGAGCAAGCUUGCUGAUGUGCAUAGACGCUGGGUCUAACAGGCUACACCUCUGCCCCUACUCCCGUGACUCCUUUGCCUUGCCCAAGAAAAAUCACACCACCAUGUCCAGCCAAUAAGAUAUCGCCCAAUGUUCUCCACUAAUGUAUGGAUCUGUCUGCAUAACCUAUAAGAAAGUGCCAUGUAAUUAAAUGCUCCUCCCACAUGUAACCUUUAUAAGCCUGUGCAUUUCCUAAAUAAAGCAGAAGUGUUCCAGAAACCUCCCUGGAGUUUGCCUGGUGAUUCUGCAACUUACCCUCCCAGUCCGAGUUCCCGAACUGAACUCUACAGACCAAACAGUGGACAACAAUAUGCUAUGAGCCUUAUAGGGAAUUUAGAUAUCAUAUCUCAAAUCCAACAUUAACAACCCUGAGCAGUAGAUUGCAUUAUCUUCCCAUUUUACAGACCAGGAAGCUUAAACUCAGAGCCUUCAUGAAAAACUGGGCCAAGAUUUGAAUCCCAGUGUGUGGCUUCAAAGCCUGAGGUCUCUUUUUCUAGGGUCCCCACCUCCAUAACAGCGGUCAUCCUUCCUGAUUCUGGUGUCUGGCCCCAGACUCUCAACCCUCUGGGAUCACUCUUGUUCUUGUUCCCACCUCCAGCUUCCAUCGUACUGGGCAUGUGACAGAUAGAUGCAUUACAACCAGAGCACUACCUACAGGAGCAUGGUAGAACUGCUCUUUAUUCAGAAUUUAGUGCCCUGCUCCCCGAGCCCUUUUUGCUGAUACCUGAGACCACAUGACUGAACCAUGUGGUCACCGUUCCACACUCACCAGUCACAGAAGGC
ensembl:lincRNA